rnacentral:rRNA from 1 species
UACGGGGGGGGCAAGCGUUGUUCGGAAUUACUGGGCGUAAAGGGCUCGUAGGCGGUCUGUCGCGUCUGCUGUGAAAACUCAGGGCUUAACCCUGAGCUUGCAGUGGGUACGGGCAGACUAGAGUGCGGUAGGGGAGACUGGAAUUCCUGGUGUAGCGGUGAAAUGCGCAGAUAUCAGGAGGAACACCGGUGGCGAAGGCGGGUCUCUGGGCCGUAACUGACGCUGAGGAGCGAAAGCAUGGGGAGCGAACAGG